rnacentral:lncRNA from 1 species
CUUGCAUCUUUUAGGGCAGGCAAAGCAAGAGAGGCUUUGGGCAAAGUGCUACCCUAUUGGAUAAUCUCUCAAUAUUUUGCAGUUCACUAGGUUUCCUCCAGAGAGACAGAUAAAUACAACGUUAUUUCUUCACCUAACAGAUCUAACAGACCUUCUUUUUGUUCACCACCCCCAAUCUCCUAUCUCCCUGCUGCUUCCAUCAACUAGGAGGUGUAAAAGAACUCCCAAGGACUACAGUUUAUUUGUUCUGCAACCUUCUGAGAAAUGUGUUACAUCAUGUGCUGCUUCCAAAACCAUGCUAAUGAAAUAGGGCUGUCAGAACUCAUUUACACAGGAUACACAAUUGCUUGAUGACACUUGAGGAUAUUCACAGCCUAACAAAGAGGCAAAGAUUUCUGGAGAUAAAUCCCAACAUCGGCCUCUGGGUGCCUUAGUAUCCUGAAGAGCACAGCAACAUAAAAAAGCUUGAGCAGAAUUGUAUCCAUAAGGCUUGUAUGGACUGAUGCUGAGUGAAGUGAGCAGAACCAGAAGAAUGUUGUACAC